rnacentral:rRNA from 1 species
UACGGAGGAUGCAAGCGUUAUCCGGAAUUAUUGGGCGUAAAGCGUCCGCAGGUGGUUUAUCAAGUCUGCUGUCAAAGCGCGAGGCUUAACUUCGUAAAGGCAGUGGAAACUGAUAGACUGGAGUGCGGUAGGGGCAGAGGGAAUUCCCAGUGUAGCGGUGAAAUGCGUAGAUAUUGGGAAGAACACCAGUGGCGAAGGCGGCGAUCUGGGAAGAUACUGACGCUGAGGUGCGAAAGCGUGGGGAGCAAACAGG